GUCAGUUUGGCCGAGUGGUUAAGGCGACAGACUCGAAUUUACUUACGUGACAUCUGUUGGGUUAUACCCGCACAGGUUCAAAUCCUGUAGCUGACG